rnacentral:ncRNA from 1 species
ACAUAACCAAUGAUGGAGCAUAGUAAUUAAGCACAGUCAUGAAAAGAGAGGAAAUGCCCUAGGCUGAAAGCAUUUCUACAUGGAACUUAAUGAAGGAACACUCCGUAGGCUUCUCUCUGAAAAAGGAUCAACUUUAGUAGGAGAAGAACGUAGCAGGCGUUAACUGUUAAAGAGGAAGUGCAUGAAAUCUAUGCCUUCAACUAGGGUGGCACCGCGGGAUUAUUAUAACUCUCGUCCCUUGU